AACGAACGCUGGCGGCAUGCCUAACACAUGCAAGUCGAACGAGACCUUCGGGUCUAGUGGCGCACGGGUGCGUAACGCGUGGGAACCUGCCCUUAGGUUCGGAAUAACUCCCCGAAAGGGGUGCUAAUACCGGAUAAUGUCUUCGGACCAAAGAUUUAUCGCCUUUGGAUGGGUCCGCGUUGGAUUAGCUAGUUGGUAGGGUAAAAGCCUACCAAGGCGACGAUCCAUAGCUGGUCUGAGAGGGGGAUCAGCCACACUGGGACUGAGACACGGCCCAGACUCCUACGGGAGGCAGCAGUGGGGAAUAUUGGACAAUGGGCGAAAGCCUGAGCCAGCAAGGCCGCGUGAGUGAUGAAGGCCUUAGGGUUGUAAAGCUCUUUUACCCGGGAUGAUAAGGACAGUACCGGGAGAAUAAGCUCCGGCUAACUCCGU
rnacentral:rRNA from 1 species